AUUGAACGCUGGCGGCAGGCCUAACACAUGCAAGUCGGACGGUAGCACAGAGGAGCUUGCUCCUUGGGUGACGAGUGGCGGACGGGUGAGUAAUGUCUGGGGAUCUGCCCGAUAGAGGGGGAUAACCACUGGAAACGGUGGCUAAUACCGCAUAACGUCGCAAGACAAAAGAGGGGGACCUUCGGGCCUCUCACUAUCGGAUGAACCCAGAUGGGAUUAGCUAGUAGGCGGGGUAAUGGCCCACCUAGGCGACGAUCCCUCGCUGGUCUGAGGGGAUGACCAGCCACACUGGAACUGAGACACGGUCCAGACUCCUACGGGAGGCAGCAGUGGGGAAUAUUGCACAAUGGGCGCAAGCCUGAUGCAGCCAUGCCGCGUGUAUGAAGAAGGCCUUCGGGUUGUAAAGUACUUUCAGCGGGGAGGAAGGCGGUGAGGUUAAUAACCUCGCCGAUUGACGUUACCCGCAGAAGAAGCACCGGCUAACUCCGUGCCAGCAGCCGCCGUAA
rnacentral:rRNA from 1 species